UACGGGGGGGGCAAGCGUUGUUCGGAAUUACUGGGCGUAAAGGGCUCGUAGGUGGCCAACUAAGUCAUACGUGAAAUCCCUCGGCUUAACCGGGGAACUGCGCCUGAUACUGGUUGGCUUGAGUUUGGGAGAGGGACGCGGAAUUCCAGGUGUAGCGGUGAAAUGCGUAGAUAUCCGAAGGAACACCGGUGGCGAAAGCGGCUUACUGGGUAUUUUCUGACGCUGAUGCACGAAAGCUAGGGGAGCAAACGGG
rnacentral:rRNA from 1 species